GAUCCUGGCUCAGGAUGAACGCUGGCGGCGUGCAUAACACAUUCAAGUCGAACGGAGUUAUAUGAGUAGCAAUACGAAUAUAACUUAGUGGCGGACGGGUGAGUAACGCGUGAGCAACCUACCUUUCAAAGCGGGAUAACGUUUGGAAACGGACGCUAAUACCGCAUAACGUAUCGAUGCCGCAUGACAAUGAUACCAAAAGGGCAACCUGAUGAAAGAUGGGCUCGCGUCUGAUUAGA
rnacentral:rRNA from 1 species